rnacentral:tRNA from 1 species
GCAAAAGUAGCUUAACGACAAAGCAAAGCACUGAAAAUACUUUAAUAGUGGGUUUAAGUCCCCUCUUUAUGCA